rnacentral:rRNA from 1 species
UACGUAGGGUGCAAGCGUUGUCCGGAAUUAUUGGGCGUAAAGAGCUCGUAGGCGGUUUGUCGCGUCUGCUGUGAAAACUCGGGGCUUAACUCCGGGCCUGCAGUGGGUACGGGCAGACUAGAGUGCGGUAGGGGAGACUGGAAUUCCUGGUGUAGCGGUGAAAUGCGCAGAUAUCAGGAGGAACACCGGUGGCGAAGGCGGGUCUCUGGGCCGGAACUGACGCUGAGGAGCGAAAGCGUGGGGAGCGAACAGG